rnacentral:rRNA from 1 species
GUCGGACGGGAUCUAUGGCUUCGGCUUUAGUGAGAGUGGCGGACGGGUGCGUAACGCGUGAGCAACCUACCCAUGCCAGGGGGACAGCCAGGGGAAACUCGGGUUAAUCCCGCAUGUUGCGUUGGGGUCGCAUGACUUUUACGCUAAACAAUUUCGGGGCAUGGAUGGGCUCGCGUGGCAUUAGCUAGUCGGCGGGGUAACGGCCCACCGAGGCGAUGAUGCCUAGGGGCCCUGAGAGGGGGAUCCCCCACACCGGUACUGAGACACGGACCGGACUCCUACGGGAGGCAGCAGUAGGGAAUAUUGGUCAAUGGGCGGAAGCCUGAACCAGCCAUGCCGCGUGCGGGACGAAGGCCCUACGGGUCGUAAACCGCUUUUCCACGGGAACAGUCCCCGCCACGUGCGGCGGGUCGAGGGUACCGUGGGAAUAAGGAUCGGCUAACUCCGUGCCAGCAGCCGCGGUAAUACGGAGGAUCCGAGCGUUAUCCGGAUUCAUUGGGUUUAAAGGGUGCGCAGGCGGCCUAAUAAGCAGGGGGUGAAAUAUGGCGGCUCAACCGCCUUACUGCCUCCUGAACUGUUGGGCUUGGAUGCCGUUGGGGGCGGCGGAAUGGGGCAAGUAGCGGUGAAAUGCAUAGAUAUGCCCCGGAACACCGAUCGCGGAGGCAGCUGCCCAAACGGUCAUCGACGCUGAUGCACGAAAGCGUGGGGAUCGAACAGGAUUAGAUACCCUGGUAGUCCACGCCGUAAACGAUGAUGGCUCGGUGCCGGCGACAGA